AGGCCUGAAGAGAGAGGCAGGGUCUGAUCUGCAGCCUCCGUGACAGCUGUUAAUCAGCCGUUGCCUCUCUCUUUCCAGGCU
rfam:Myotis davidii contig197419, whole genome shotgun sequence.